GAUGAAGAACGUAGCGAAAUGCGAUAAGUAAUGUGAAUUGCAGAAUUCAGUGAAUCAUCGAAUCUUUGAACGCACAUUGCGCCUGCCAGCACUCUGGCAGGCAUGCCUGUUCGAGCGUCAUUUCAACCAUCAAGCCCUAGGCUUGCGUUGGAGCCCUGCGGCUGCCGCAGGCCCCUAAAAGCAGUGGCGGGCUCGCUAUCACACCGAGUGCAGUAGAUUACUCUUCGCUCAGGGCGUGUGGCGGGUUCCAGCCGUGAAACCCCUACUUCUCAAGGUUGACCUCGGAUCAGGUAGGAAUACCCGCUGAACUUAAGCAUAUCAAUAAGCGGAGGA
rnacentral:misc_RNA from 1 species